GCCUUUGUGCUGUAGUGGUCAGUACGCUCGAUGCGUAACCCAGAGGUCCGUGGUUCGAUUCCCGGCAAGGGCA
rfam:Stegodyphus mimosarum contig2656, whole genome shotgun sequence.